AUACACAUAUAUGUAUAUAUGUGUGUAUAUAUACAUACAUAUACAUACAUAUAUACAUAUAUAUGUAUAUAUACAUAUACAUACAUAUAUACAUAUAUACAUAUAUAU
rnacentral:miRNA from 1 species